CGGAGCAGCAGUAGGGAAUAUUGUACAAUGGGGGAAACCCUGAUGCAGCAACGCCACGUGUGGGAAGACGCAUUUCGGUGUGUAAACCACUGUCGUGAGGGAAUAAGGACGCUUCUCGGAGCGUUUGAAUGUACCUCGAAAGGAAGCACCGGCAAACUUCGUGCCAGCAGCCGCGGUAAUACGAGGGGUGCAAGCGUUGUUCGGAAUCACUGGGCGUAAAGGGAGCGCAGGCGGAAGUGCAAGCGGUCUGUACAAUACCGGGGCCCAACCCCGGACCUGCAGACCGGACUGCAUUUCUUGGAUAGUUCAGGGGCAAGCGGAAUUCCUGGUGUAGAGGUGGAAUGCGUAGAGAUCAGGAAGAACACCGAUGGCGAAGGCAGCUUGCUGGGGACUUAUCGACGCUCAUGCUCGAAAGUGCGGGUAGCAAACAGGAUUAGAUACCCUGGUA
rnacentral:rRNA from 1 species